UUAUAGAAAUGAGUAAUACUAUACUCAUAAAUAAAUUUUAGAAUAUUUAUAAAUUAUUAUAAGCGAAGGUAUUUAAUUUAGGGAGAAGCGAAAAUUACGAGGAGAUAAGCAUGAUUUAUACUUUCAGGCUUCGUUUGAUUCGGGAUUAAGUAAGAACUAGUUAUUAAAGGAAUAGAUUUAAAUUCAGAUGUAAGUCUGGAAUAAAUCAACUUUGCGUUUGGAUGAAAACUGAGUUGUUUCCGAAAAUAAUAAAAAUAGCGUUUGGAAAAAUAAGAUGGAAUAAGAAGAAUAGUGGAUUGUUUUAAUAAAAAAUAAUAAUAUUGCUCCAAUUAUUAUAUUUGAAUUCAAAUUUUUUUAUUUUAUAUUUAAAAUUUAAAUUUUAAAUAGAUAACUUUAAAAUAAAAAAAAAUUCAAAAUUAAAAUCUAAAUUUUUAAAUCUCAAAUUUAAAAUUUUAAAGUUAUAAAUUAUAAAUUUUAAAUUUUAAAUCAAAUCUCAAUUUACAAAUAUAAAAUUUAAAUAAUUAAAAAUAACAAUUUGAAAUUUAAAAUUUAAAAUUUAAAAUUUAAAAUUAUAAAUUAUAAAUAUUAAUUUUAAGAUUAAAAAUUAUAAAUUUUUAAAAUUUAAAAUUUAAAUUUUAAAUUUUAAAUUUUAAAAGGGAAUUAG
rnacentral:lncRNA from 1 species